UACGACGGGGGCUAGCGUUGCUCGGAAUCACUGGGCGUAAAGCGCACGUAGGCGGCUUUUUAAGUCCGAGGUGAAAUCCUGGAGCUCAACUCCAGAACUGCCUUUGAUACUGGAGAGCUUGAGUCCGGGAGAGGUGAGUGGAACUGCGAGUGUAGAGGUGAAAUUCGUAGAUAUUCGCAAGAACACCAGUGGCGAAGGCGGCUCACUGGCCCGGUACUGACGCUGAGGUGCGAAAGCGUGGGGAGCAAACAGG
rnacentral:rRNA from 1 species